GUGGGUGUGGUACCGAGGCUUCAGCGGGUGCCGCCCGCCUAGAGGGAGUGGAGCGGAAUCAGGAGAGGAACCCGGUCCUCUCCACACAGCCCAGCAGGUACGCCGCCCAUGUGCCUGUGGAGAAGAGAGGUUCCUGUGGGGCAGACAGAGAGCCUACGACUAGAUUUGCAUCUUUACGUCCUGCGCGGAGGCUGCUACACACAUGCAGAAGUCAUGCUGGUGGCCUGGACAGUGAAGGGAGAGAAGUGGAUUUGGGAGACAUUUAGGAGAUGGCACCAAAAGCGAAGGAAGCUCCUGCUCAUCCUAAAGCCGAAGCCAAAGCGAAGGCUUUAAAGGCCAAGAAGGCAGUGUUGAAAGGUGUCCGCAGCCACACGCAAAAAAGAAGAUCCGCAUGUCACUCACCUUCAGGCGGCCCAAGACACUGCGACUCCGGAGGCAGCCCAGAUAUCCUCGGAAGAGCACCCCCAGGAGAAACAAGCUUGGCCACUAUGCUAUCAUCAAGUUUCCGCUGGCCACUGAGUCGGCCGUGAAGAAGAUAGAAGAAAACAACACGCUUGUGUUCACUGUGGAUGUUAAAGCCAACAAGCACCAGAUCAGACAGGCUGUGAAGAAGCUCUAUGACAGUGAUGUGGCCAAGGUCACCACCCUGAUUUGUCCUGAUAAGGAGAACAAGGCAUAUGUUCGACUUGCUCCUGAUUAUGAUGCUUUCGAUGUUGUAACAAAAUUGGGAUCACCUAAACUGAGUCCAGCUGGCUAACUCUAAAUAUAUGUGUAUCUUUUCAGCAUAAAAAAA
ensembl:lncRNA RPL23AP7 ribosomal protein L23a pseudogene 7